CACGCCCUCUCGAUAUUUCAUCAUUCCCACACACCCCUUAACCCUAAAUCUAUCAUUUCACCCCACCCCAACCCAAUUGUGUUCCUUCCCAGACCAUAUUUCUUUCAAAUCACCACUACUAGAUCUUGAUCCUGAAAGGCGACUUCUAGACAUACGUAGAGUAAAUCCGCUAGAGAAUUCGGUUUUUUGGACGGAUUGGAAUUUGGAAGGUUAUUGUUGCAUCUGCACGUCAUUCUAGAUCAUUGCCCAUGUUCUUUCUGAAAUUCUAAAUCUGUUCUUGAUGUGAGGAGAUCACAUUCUGGUUUUAUGAUUUAGUGUAUGGAUGAUUCGUUAAAGCGAUUGGUUCUUACAUCAACAUUUUGGGGCCGAAAGUUGGAACUUUAAUGAAGAUUUCAACAAUUUUCUUUGUGAUUGCAGUUCAUCGGGAUCCUUCAUUAUAACCACAAACUUGCAACAUGGUUCAGGAUGCGACGUUGUAGUUUUAUUAAGAAAUGAAUUCAAGAUGUAAAUUUUUUACACAUUUGUUCAUUUAUAAUUAUAGGAUAUUUUCUUUUUAUUUUGGAGAAAUAGAGAUGGUAUUAAACAUUAUUUAUAA